rnacentral:rRNA from 1 species
UUUUUAGAGAGUUUGAUCCUGGCUCAGGAUUAACGCUGGCGGCGUGCAUAACACAUUCAAGUCGAACGGUGACGAGGGCUUCGGUCCUCUGAUCAGUGGCGGACGGGUGAGUAACGCGUGAGCAAUCUACCUUUUGGUGAGGGAUAACAACCGGAAACAGUUGCUAAUACCACAUAAAACGGCAGUACCGCAUGGUACAACCGUCAAAGAUUUAUUGCCAAGAGAUGAGCUUGCGUCUGAUUAGCUAGUUGGUGAGGUAACGGCUCACCAAGGCGACGAUCGGUAGCCGGACUGAGAGGUUGAACGGCCACAUUGGAACUGAG